rnacentral:rRNA from 1 species
GGAAGGGGUGUAUUUAUUAGAUAAAAAACCAACGCCCUUCGGGGCUUCUUGGUGAUUCAUGAUAACUUUACGGAUCGCAUGGCCUUGCGCCGGCGACGGUUCAUUCAAAUUUCUGCCCUAUCAACUUUCGAUGGUAAGGUAUUGGCUUACCAUGGUUUCAACGGGUAACGGGGAAUUAGGGUUCGAUUCCGGAGAGGGAGCCUGAGAAACGGCUACCACAUCCAAGGAAGGCAGCAGGCGCGCAAAUUACCCAAUCCCGACACGGGGAGGUAGUGACAAUAAAUACUGAUACAGGGCUCUUUUGGGUCUUGUAAUUGGAAUGAGUACAAUUUAAACCUCUUAACGAGGAACAAUUGGAGGGCAAGUCUGGUGCCAGCAGCCGCGGUAAUUCCAGCUCCAAUAGCGUAUAUUAAAGUUGUUGCAGUUAAAAAGCUCGUAGUUGAAACUUGGGCCUGGCUGGCAGGUCCGCCUCACCGCGUGUACUUGUCCGGCCGGGCCUUUCCUUCUGGAGAACCUCAUGCCCUUCACUGGGUGUGUUGGGGAACCAGGACUUUUAC